rnacentral:rRNA from 1 species
CUACCCUUGACAUGUCCGGAAGCCCGCUGAGAGGUGGGUGUGCCCGAAAGGGAAUCGGAACACAGGUGCUGCAUGGCUGUCGUCAGCUCGUGUCGUGAGAUGUUGGGUUAAGUCCCGCAACGAGCGCAACCCUUGUCCCUAGUUGCUACGCAAGGGCACUCUAGGGAGACUGCCGGUGACAAACCGGAGGAAGGUGGGGGGAUGACGUCAAGUCCUCAUGGCCCUUAUGGGUAGGGCUUCACACGUCAUACAAUGGCCGGUACAGAGGGUUGCCAACCCGCGAGGGGGAGCCAAUCCCAGAAAGCCGGUCGUAGUCCCGGAUUGCAGUCUGCAACUCGACUGCAUGAAGUCGGAAUCGCUAGUAAUCGCGGAUCAGCAUGCCGCGGUGAAUACGUUCCCG